GGCAUGGUGACUUAGUGGUUAGCGCGCAUGCCUCACAUCUCCAGGGUUGAGGAUUCGAAUCCCACCUCUGCCA